UACGGAGGGUGCAAGCGUUAAUCGGAAUUACUGGGCGUAAAGCGCACGUAGGUGGUUUGUUAAGUCAGCUGUGAAAUCCCCGGGCUCAACCUGGGCACUGCAGUUGAAACUGGCAAGCUAGAGUAGGGGUAGAGGGGUGUGGAAUUCCAGGUGUAGCGGUGAAAUGCGUAGAUAUCUGGAGGAACAUCAGUGGCGAAGGCGACACCCUGGACUCAUACUGACACUGAGGUGCGGAAAGCGUGGGGAGCAAACAGGGAUUCAG
rnacentral:rRNA from 1 species